UUUUUAAAAAUCACUCAUAUGACAAAGAGGCAAAAUAGUUAUUAACCCUUCAUUUUUUUAUCAGUCUUCAUCUGCCUCUUCUUGGUCUUAUUGAGGAGAGCUUAAGUUGGAGUUAUUUUUGGAAUUUCAGGUUCAGGGAAUAGUUAGAGUCCUUAUGAGAGGUUUAAACCUCCUUCGUUGCAUAGCAUGGCGCGAUUUUCUCCAGGUCCUAUCAAAAUCCUUCUUUCCUACCUUCCCAACUUUAGCUUUGUAGUAACUUUGGUCGGCUU
rnacentral:lncRNA from 1 species